ACUUCGUGGUACAUUCCUAGUGACCCUGCUGGGUUGCUGUGCAGCCUCGGGAGUGGUGUUGACGACAUACGAGGAAGACAGCUUAGUGGUUGACAUUGUUAAUGCACCAGCAAACUCAAUUAUGUUUCUGGUACGGCUUCCUUCGGACGCCACCUGUUGUAUGGACACAGAAGCUGCAACUGUAGAACAAGAGCUUGUGAUCCAAAGUGCCAACGUGACGGCGUCUUAUUCACGACAUUUACUAGGGCCGGGCAGAUACUGCGCGCUGGUGGUAUCAAACAGCGGAAAUUUCACUUCGCAGCAGCCACUGGAGCUC